rnacentral:rRNA from 1 species
CCUACGGGCGGCAGCAGUGGGGGAUAUUGCACAAUGGGGGGAACCCUGAUGCAGCGACGCCGCGUGGGUGAAGGAGUGCUUCGGCAUGUAAACCUCUAUCGGCGGGGACGAAGCAAGACGGUACCUGACUAAGAAGCCCCGGCUAACUACGUGCCAGCAGCCGCGGUAAUACGUAGGGGGCGAGCGUUUUCCGGAUUCACUGGGUGUAAAGGGAGCGUAGACGGGCAUGCAAGCCAGGGGGGAAAGGACGGGGCCCAACCCCGGAAAUGCCCUUGGAACUGCAUGGCUGGAGUGCGGGAGGGGCAGGCGGAAUUCCUGGUGUAGCGGUGAAAUGCGUAGAUAUUAGGAGGAACACCGGCGGCGAAGGCGGCCUGCUGGACCGCGACUGACGUUGAGGCUCGAAAGCGUGGGGAGCGAACAGGAUUAGAUACCCGAGUAGUC